rnacentral:rRNA from 3 species
UUAAGUGACUAAGCGUACAAGGUGGAUGCCUUGGCAAUCAGAGGCGAAGAAGGACGUGCUAAUCUGCGAAAAGCUUGGGUGAGUUGAUAAGAAGCGUCUAACCCAAGAUAUCCGAAUGGGGCAACCCAGUAGAUGAAGAAUCUACUAUCAAUAACCGAAUCCAUAGGUUAUUGAGGCAAACCGGGAGAACUGAAACAUCUAAGUACCCCGAGGAAAAGAAAUCAACCGAGAUUACGUCAGUAGCGGCGAGCGAAAGCGUAAGAGCCGGCAAGUGAUAGCAUGAGGAUUAGAGGAAUCGGCUGGGAAGCCGGGCGGCACAGGGUGAUAGCCCCGUACUUGAAAAUCAUUGUGUGGUACUGAGCUUGCGAGAAGUAGGGCGGGACACGAGAAAUCCUGUUUGAAGAAGGGGGGACCAUCCUCCAAGGCUAAAUACUCCUGAUUGACCGAUAGUGAACCAGUACUGUGAAGGAAAGGCGAAAAGAACCCCGGUGAGGGGAGUGAAAUAGAACCUGAAACCUUGUACGUACAAGCAGUGGGAGCCCGCGAGGGUGACUGCGUACCUUUUGUAUAAUGGGUCAGCGACUUAUAUUAUGUAGCGAGGUUAACCGAAUAGGGGAGCCGAAGGGAAACCGAGUCUUAACUGGGCGUCGAGUUGCAUGAUAUAGACCCGAAACCCGGUGAUCUAGCCAUGGGCAGGUUGAAGGUUGGGUAACACUAACUGGAGGACCGAACCGACUAAUGUUGAAAAAUUAGCGGAUGACCUGUGGCUGGGGGUGAAAGGCCAAUCAAACCGGGAGAUAGCUGGUUCUCCCCGAAAUCUAUUUAGGUAGAGCCUUAUGUGAAUACCUUCGGGGGUAGAGCACUGUUUCGGCUAGGGGGCCAUCCCGGCUUACCAACCCGAUGCAAACUGCGAAUACCGAAGAGUAAUGCAUAGGAGACACACGGCGGGUGCUAACGUUCGUCGUGGAGAGGGAAACAACCCAGACCGCCAGCUAAGGUCCCAAAGUUUAUAUUAAGUGGGAAACGAAGUGGGAAGGCUUAGACAGCUAGGAUGUUGGCUUAGAAGCAGCCAUCAUUUAAAGAAAGCGUAAUAGCUCACUAGUCGAGUCGGCCUGCGCGGAAGAUGUAACGGGGCUCAAAUAUAGCACCGAAGCUGCGGCAUCAGGCGUAAGCCUGUUGGGUAGGGGAGCGUCGUGUAAGCGGAAGAAGGUGGUUCGAGAGGGCUGCUGGACGUAUCACGAGUGCGAAUGCUGACAUAAGUAACGAUAAAACGGGUGAAAAACCCGUUCGCCGGAAGACCAAGGGUUCCUGUCCAACGUUAAUCGGGGCAGGGUGAGUCGGCCCCUAAGGCGAGGCUGAAGAGCGUAGUCGAUGGGAAACGGGUUAAUAUUCCCGUACUUGUUAUAAUUGCGAUGUGGGGACGGAGUAGGUUAGGUUAUCGACCUGUUGGAAAAGGUCGUUUAAGUUGGUAGGUGGAGCGUUUAGGCAAAUCCGGACGCUUAUCAACACCGAGAGAUGAUGACGAGGCGCUAAGGUGCCGAAGUAACCGAUACCACACUUCCAGGAAAAGCCACUAAGCGUCAGAUUAUAAUAAACCGUACUAUAAACCGACACAGGUGGUCAGGUAGAGAAUACUCAGGCGCUUGAGAGAACUCGGGUGAAGGAACUAGGCAAAAUAGCACCGUAACUUCGGGAGAAGGUGCGCCGGCGUAGAUUGUAGAGGUAUACCCUUGAAGGUUGAACCGGUCGAAGUGACCCGCUGGCUGCAACUGUUUAUUAAAAACACAGCACUCUGCAAACACGAAAGUGGACGUAUAGGGUGUGAUGCCUGCCCGGUGCUGGAAGGUUAAUUGAUGGCGUUAUCGCAAGAGAAGCGCCUGAUCGAAGCCCCAGUAAACGGCGGCCGUAACUAUAACGGUCCUAAGGUAGCGAAAUUCCUUGUCGGGUAAGUUCCGACCUGCACGAAUGGCAUAAUGAUGGCCAGGCUGUCUCCACCCGAGACUCAGUGAAAUUGAAAUCGCCGUGAAGAUGCGGUGUACCCGCGGCUAGACGGAAAGACCCCGUGAACCUUUACUAUAGCUUGACACUGAACCUUGAAUUUUGAUGUGUAGGAUAGGUGGGAGGCUUUGAAGCGGUAACGCCAGUUAUCGUGGAGCCAUCCUUGAAAUACCACCCUUUAACGUUUGAUGUUCUAACGAAGUGCCCGGAACGGGUACUCGGACAGUGUCUGGUGGGUAGUUUGACUGGGGCGGUCUCCUCCCAAAGAGUAACGGAGGAGCACGAAGGUUUGCUAAUGACGGUCGGACAUCGUCAGGUUAGUGCAAUGGUAUAAGCAAGCUUAACUGCGAGACGGACAAGUCGAGCAGGUGCGAAAGCAGGUCAUAGUGAUCCGGUGGUUCUGAAUGGAAGGGCCAUCGCUCAACGGAUAAAAGGUACUCCGGGGAUAACAGGCUGAUACCGCCCAAGAGUUCAUAUCGACGGCGGUGUUUGGCACCUCGAUGUCGGCUCAUCACAUCCUGGGGCUGAAGUAGGUCCCAAGGGUAUGGCUGUUCGCCAUUUAAAGUGGUACGCGAGCUGGGUUUAAAACGUCGUGAGACAGUUUGGUCCCUAUCUGCCGUGGGCGUUGGAGAAUUGAGAGGGGCUGCUCCUAGUACGAGAGGACCGGAGUGGACGCAUCACUGGUGUUCCGGUUGUGUCGCCAGACGCAUUGCCGGGUAGCUACAUGCGGAAGAGAUAAGUGCUGAAAGCAUCUAAGCACGAAACUUGCCUCGAGAUGAGUUCUCCCAGUAUUUAAUACUGUAAGGGUUGUUGGAGACGACGACGUAGAUAGGCCGGGUGUGUAAGCGUUGCGAGACGUUGAGCUAACCGGUACUAAUUGCCCGAGAGGCUUAGCCAU